rnacentral:rRNA from 1 species
UAAGCCCUACGGGAGGCAGCAGUGGGGAAUAUUGCACAAUGGGGGAAACCCUGAUGCAGCGACGCCGCGUGAGUGAAGAAGUAUUUCGGUAUGUAAAUCUCUAUCAGCAGGGAAGAAAAAAGACGGUACCUGACUAAGAAGCCCCGGCUAACUACGUGCCAGCAGCCGCGGUAAUACGGAGGAUGCGAGCGUUAUCCGGAUUUAUUGGGUUUAAAGGGUGCGUAGGCGGGCAUUUAAGCCGGCGGUCAAAUGUCGGGGCUCAACCCCGGCCUGCCGUCGGAACUGGGUGCCUUGAGUGGGCGAGA